CCUACGGGAGGCAGCAGUGGGGAAUCUUGCGCAAUGGGCGAAAGCCUGACGCAGCAACGCCGCGUGCGGGAAGAAGGCUUUCGGGCUGUAAACCGCUUUCAGCAGGAACGAAAAUGACGGUACCUGCAGAAGAAGGAGCGGCCAACUAUGUGCCAGCAGCCGCGGUGAUACAUAGGCUUCAAGCGUUGUCCGGAUUUAUUGGGCGUAAAGAGUUCGUAGGCGGUCAAGUAAGUCGGGUGUGAAAAUUCUGGGCUCAACCCAGAGACGCCACCCGAUACUGCUUAACUUGAGUUCGAUAGGGGAGUGGGGAAUUCCUAGUGUAGCGGUGAAAUGCGCAGAUAUUAGGAGGAACACCGGUGGCGAAGGCGCCACUCUGGAUCGAUACUGACGCUGAGGAACGAAAGCAUGGGUAGCAAACAGGAUUAGAUACCCUGGUAGUCCAUGCCGUAAACGGUGGGCACUAGGUGUGGGUUUCUAUUAACGAAAUCCGCGCCGUCGCUAACGCAUUAAGUGCCCCGCCUGGGGAGUACGGUCGCGAGACGUAAACGUACAAGAAGUAGUAACGGCGUGAGAGUGCGAACGGACGACGACGAGGGAGGAGG
rnacentral:rRNA from 1 species